AUUGAACGCUGGCGGCAUGCCUUACACAUGCAAGUCGAACGGCAGCACGGGUGCUUGCACCUGGUGGCGAGUGGCGAACGGGUGAGUAAUACAUCGGAACAUGUCCUGUAGUGGGGGAUAGCCCGGCGAAAGCCGGAUUAAUACCGCAUACGAUCUACGGAUGAAAGCGGGGGACCUUCGGGCCUCGCGCUAUAGGGUUGGCCGAUGGCUGAUUAGCUAGUUGGUGGGGUAAAGGCCUACCAAGGCGACGAUCAGUAGCUGGUCUGAGAGGACGACCAGCCACACUGGGACUGAGACACGGCCCAGGCUCCGACGGGAGGCAGCAGUGGGGAAUUUUGGACAAUGGGCGAAAGCCUGAUCCAGCAAUGCCGCGUGUGUGAAGAAGGCCUUCGGGUUGUAAAGCACUUUUGUCCGGAAAGAAAUCCUUGGCUCUAAUACAGUCGGGGGAUGAGGGUACCGGAAGAAUAAGCACCGGCUAACUACGU
rnacentral:rRNA from 1 species